UACGUAGGGCGCAAGCGUUAUCCGGAAUUAUUGGGCGUAAAGAGCUCGUAGGCGGUUUGUCGCGUCUGCCGUGAAAGUCCGGGGCUCAACUCCGGAUCUGCGGUGGGUACGGGCAGACUAGAGUGAUGUAGGGGAGACUGGAAUUCCUGGUGUAGCGGUGAAAUGCGCAGAUAUCAGGAGGAACACCGAUGGCGAAGGCAGGUCUCUGGGCCGAUACUGACGCUGAGGAGCGAAAGCGUGGGGAGCGAACAGG
rnacentral:rRNA from 1 species